CUACGGGUGGCAGCAGUGGGGAAUAUUGGACAAUGGGCGCAAGCCUGAUCCAGCAAUGCCGCGUGUGUGAAGAAGGCCUGCGGGUUGUAAAGCACUUUAAGCAGGAAAGAAGGUUUCAAGGAUAAUACCCUUGGAAAUUGACGUUACCUGCAGAAUAAGCACCGGCUAACUCCGUGCCAGCAGCCGCGGUAAUACGGAGGGUGCGAGCGUUAAUCGGAAUUACUGGGCGUAAAGCGCGCGUAGGCGGUCGGCUAAGUCUGCUGUGAAAGCCCUGGGCUUAACCUGGGAACUGCAGUGGAUACUGGUCGGCUCGAGUAUGGUAGAGGAGAGUGGAAUUUCCGGUGUAGCAGUGAAAUGCGUAGAGAUCGGAAGGAACACCAGUGGCGAAGGCGGCUCUCUGGACCAAUACUGACGCUGAGGUGCGAAAGCGUGGGGAGCAAACAGGAUUAGAUACCCCGGUAGUC
rnacentral:rRNA from 1 species